rnacentral:misc_RNA from 1 species
GGAUGAAGAACGCAGCGAAAUGCGAUACUUGGUGUGAAUUGCAGAAUCCCGUGAACCAUCGAGUCUUUGAACGCAAGUUGCGCCUCAAGCCAUUAGGUUGAGGGCACGUCUGCCUGGGCGUCACAUAUCGUUGCCUGAUGCCAGUUUCCUCGUGAUGGGUGACUGUGCAGGGCGAAUGAUGGCUUCCCGUGAGCAUUGUUGCCUCAUGGUUGGUUGAAAAUUGAGUCCUUGGUAGGGAGCGCCGUGAUAGAUGGUGGUUGAGUGACGAACGAGACCCAAUCAUGUGAGACCCCUACCGAAUUUGGCCUUCAUGACCCACAUGCGUCUUUGGAACGCUCAUGACGAGACCUCAGGUCAGGCGGGGCUACCCGCUGAGUUUAAGCAUAUCAAUAAGCGGAGGA